rnacentral:rRNA from 1 species
AUUGAACGCUGGCGGCAGGCCUAACACAUGCAAGUCGAACGAGUGGCGGACGGGUGAGUAAUGUCUGGGCAACUGCCUGAUGGAGGGGGAUAACUACUGGAAACGGUAGCUAAUACCGCAUACCAUCGGAUGUGCCCAGAUGGGAUUAGCUAGUAGGUGGGGUAACGGCUCACCUGGGCGACGAUCCCUAGCUGGUCUGAGAGGAUGACCAGCAACACUGGAACUGAAACAGGGUCCAGACUCCUAGGGGAGGCACCAGUGGGGAAUAUUGCACAAGGGGCGCAAGCCUGAUGCAGCCAUGCCGCGGGUAUGAAGAAGGCCUUCGGGUUGUAAAGUACUUUCGGUGACGAGGCGUUAAUCACAGAAGAAGCACCGGCUAACUCCGUGCCAGCAGCCGCGGUAAUAC